UGGGAAUAUUGCACAAUGGGCGGAAGCCUGAUGCAGCAACGCCGCGUGCGGGAUGACGGCCUUCGGGUUGUAAACCGCUUUCGCCUGUGACGAAGCGUGAGUGACGGUAAUGGGUAAAGAAGCACCGGCUAACUACGUGCCAGCAGCCGCGGUGAUACGUAGGGUGCGAGCGUUGUCCGGAUUUAUUGGGCGUAAAGGGCUCGUAGGUGGUUGAUCGCGUCGGAAGUGUAAUCUUGGGGCUUAACCCUGAGCGUGCUUUCGAUACGGGUUGACUUGAGGAAGGUAGGGGAGAAUGGAAUUCCUGGUGGAGCGGUGGAAUGCGCAGAUAUCAGGAGGAACACCAGUGGCGAAGGCGGUUCUCUGGGCCUUUCCUGACGCUGAGGAGCGAAAGCGUGGGGAGCGAACAGGCUUAGAUACCCUGGUAGUCCACGCUGUAAACGGUGGGUACUAGGUGUGGGGUCCAUUCCACGGGUUCCGUGCCGUAGCUAACGCUUUAAGUACCCCGCCUGGGGAGUACGGCCGCAAGGCUA
rnacentral:rRNA from 1 species